rnacentral:lncRNA from 1 species
CAAACUGUGUAUCACGUAACAAACAAACCGAGACAGUUUGAGUAAAACGGCGAGUUCUAAAUAGACCACUCAGACAUGAUUAGUUUUUGCGGUCCAAAACAGAUGUCACCUCAACCCAGUAUUUACAUAAGCUAUUGAGAGGGUUGUAAAAUUAUACAGAGCCUUCGCGAAGCCAAUUGCCAGCGGAAAAGGGAGAGUUCUCAGCGCUCAUUUCAGAUUGAGAACUCGUAUCUGUGAAAGAAAGAAUGGAUGUGGUCAAGGCUGGAUUGACAAUAUUUCUUCUAAUACUGACGAUAGACCUACCUGAAAUUCUGGGACGCAGUGUUGUAGUGACACAAAAUUCUAGGAGAGUUAAACCAUCACCAACAACUCAUACGGCCAACCAUCUGUGCGGUGAUCACCUUAUUUGGGUACUAAAAUCAGUGUGCACGGCGUUGUGGGAAUCAAAAUGGCCCAAACGAAGGCAUAGUCGCAAGCAUAGACGAGAUACAACCACCGACCAAAUUGUUCAAAUGAAAUACGAAGCAACGGAUUUCCUGUCCUCGAUACGACGAAGGAGAGACAAUGAUAACAGAAGAAGCACCGACCUUCAAGAAGAAUGCUGUGGUGAAGGAUGCAGAGUGGAGGAAAUUGCAGAGUAUUGUUAAUGAAGCUAUAUUUGUCAGCAAACCUCGUCACGUUAAAAUCGCUUGAAUUAAGACGAAUGCAUGGAUGUACAAAGAGCUGAUCACUGUGAUUGGCCGUGUGCAUGCUGUUGCCAAUUUUACAGGGAAACGGUGUAUACGAAAAGGUUUGAAAGCUGGUUAAGCCAUCGCCCACGGGGAGCGUACCCGACUGCUUACAAGGAAAUAUUUUCACGCCAUUGCGAUUCGCUCGCAUUAUUUUAUGAACAGGGACCAAAUAUAUAUAUAUACAUAUGUAUAUAUAUAUUAAUUUCUCUGCACUGAUGUAUUUAAUAAUAUAAUCAUUAUCCCACUAUAAUAUCAGGGACCGCUCAUUAUUUAUUGCCUGAGGAGUUGGAAGAUUUUGGUUAUGUCACAACAAAAUUUACCUGAUCCUCCCAUAGCGUUCUGUAAAAUUGCUAUGAUCCCCUCCCUUAGAUAAUUGGAUGUCUAUUUCCUAUAUUCUUUUGGUGACGACUGAUCCCGUCCGUCCAAUCCCCCCUGAAAACCACAUAUUCUUCCCAAAGUCUUUCACCCCCCCUUAGGCGACAAAUAAUGAAUGCUCCAUUAAGAUUUAGGAAAAAUUGAUGAAAUAGAUAGACACUGCUCUUCGCAUGACGAGCAAACGCAGCCUCCACAGAAUUAUGAGCAAGCUUUAAUGGCCAAAAGCAUCAUUAUCACUACAGUUACUCUCAUAAUAAAUAUAUGUAAGAUAAAACGUUAUCAUGCAUGAAAAGUUUAAAAAUGACAGUCUCCAAUUUUAUCAAUUUACAAUCUCGGUACAUUAAGUCGAAGAAAAUAAUACACAAUGUGUAAGCAUCAAGUCCGUAAACUUACAUAGGUAAAUAACCAAAUUAAGGUAAAGUUGUAAAUAUUAGAUCACAUAAGAAAAGCUUUGUAACGAAAUAUAAUAGAAAACCAGUUAUAUUUUGAACU